UACGUAGGGUGCGAGCGUUGUCCGGAAUUAUUGGGCGUAAAGAGCUUGUAGGCGGUUUGUCGCGUCUGCCGUGAAAAACUCACAGCUCAACUGUGAGCUUGCGGUCGAUACGGGGCAGGCUCGAGUUCGGUAGGGGGAGACUGGAAUUCCUGGUGUAGCGGUGAAAUGCGCAGAUAUCAGGAGGAACACCGGUGGCGAAGGGCGGGGUCUCUGGGGCCCGA
rnacentral:rRNA from 1 species